rnacentral:lncRNA from 1 species
ACUAUUACUAGUGAAGGACCCACGCAUUGCGGUGGGACGACUUCGUAGAAAUAAAUAAAUAAAUUUAAAAUAACAAAAUAAAAAGUCAAAGAAUUAUAUAAAAUAAAUAACUGAAAAAUAAGUAACUAAUUAAAGAUUGAGGAAUUCUCUAAAUUAGCACUUGAACCGAACUGAAUCAAUGAUCUGCCUAUAUAAUUUUGUUUUGUGUAUGAAAACCGAACCAAUUAAAUCUGAAAACCGAACCAAUUAAAUCUGAACCGAAGAGCUGUUGUCUCUAAAAAUCUGUACCGAACCAAUUAACUGACUCUCUCUAAACCGAACCGAACCGAACCAAACCAUUCACUAUCUAAACUUCUCAAACCGAACCAAUAAACUUCUCAAACCGAACCAAUACACGCUUGCUUCUUCUCCGCUCGAAACCAUAAGUCGCUUGCUUCUUUUCCGCUCGAAACCGUAAGUCGCUCCGCCUCCUCACGACCUUGAUUCUUUUCAUGUUCUUCUCAUGUCCGUUACAGUAAAUCACUUCCCCUCCGUGCGACCUUGCUUCUUCUCCUGUCCGUUACAUUAAAUCAUUUCUUCUCCUCUCAAUGCCGCAGCAUCCAUCCCCUAUUUUCGUUUCAGACGGGAUCGACGGGAUCGUGCUCAUAAAAUUUACCAUCGUUUUA